GCUUGCAGGUCCAAGCCAUUGGUAGCAGCCCCUGGUAUAUCCAGGACAUCAGCAUAUGGAACCAGGGAAAGGGUCCUCCCUCAUAGUGACGCAUGUCAUAGACUCAGAUUUAUACAAACAAAUGCUGAGCAAACCAUGAAGAGUCUCUGGUAUUUUCAACAAUAUCAUCACAGAGGAACUGUAUUGAUUUCCUUUCAUGUUCAGGGUACUGGGAGAGGCAACAGGGAUGGAGGUCCCAUGUCAGGGGACUUCACAGUGUGACGGGAAUGUUCAACCUGCACCUGUUCCUUGCACCAUACUCCAUCCAGCUCUCCGCUCUUCCAGUCAUUUAUGCUCCUGUCUUCCCUGGAGGAAGCCUGGUAGUAUCUCCCGGGGACACUGGCUCAAAUUUUCAGCCACCUGCCCAAGAUAGAUGGGACCAGGGGCCAGAUGAUGUGGACAAUGACGAUGUCACAAAGAGAAAUAAGAAAUAAAGGAGGCAACUUAGUGGGAAAGGUGAUGUUCUGGGUUCUGAAGAAGAUGAGAAAUACCAGGCCAGGCUGUGCUUUGCCUCUUGGCCUAUUUUCCUUCCUGACUUUUUUCAGCCACGGUGAGUCUCUGAGACCUAGUUUUGGCAGAAGGAAGUACCAGAGGGAGCUGAGCUGUUGAACGUUAUGUGCGACCAUGUAAUAACUGCAAUCGGAAGGGAAACACUCAGAGUCCUGGAGA
rnacentral:lncRNA from 1 species